GUAUAAGGAGACUGUAUGGGUGCCCUUUUCUGGGCUUAAUAGGGAAGCAGGUGAAAGGCCUGCGUGGUCCCGCCGCUGUAACCGGGGACGAAACCUAUAAAAAAGCCACUGGGUGCUUUUAGGUGCCUGGGAAGGCGUGGGGAGUAGGAAGAGCCGGGAGUCAGAAGACCUGCCCAUACAAUAGAUAGCUU
rnacentral:ncRNA from 2 species